rnacentral:rRNA from 1 species
CCUACGGGAGGCAGCAGUCGAGAAUAUUUAGCAAUGGGCGAAAGCCCGACUAUGCGACGCCGCGUGAGGGAUGAAGGUUUUCGGAUCGUAAACCUCUUUUGUCAGGGGAGAAAAAACUGCACCUAAUAGAUGCAGGACUGACGGUACCUGACGAAUAAGCCACGGCUAACUCCGUGCCAGCAGCCGCGGUAAUACGGAGGUGGCAAGCGUUACUCGGAAUCAUUGGGUGUAAAGGGCAAGUAGGCGGUCUAAUAAGUGAGGGGUGAAAUCCUGCGACUCAAUCGCAGAACUGCCUUUCAAACUGUCAGACUUGAGGUAAGAAGAGGAAAAUGGAAUUCUAGGUGUAAGGGUGAAAUCUGUAGAUAUCUAGAAGAACACCAACGGCGAAGGCAAUUUUCUACUCUUAUCCUGACGCUAAAUUGCGAAAGCUAGGGGAGCAAACAGAAUUAGAUACUCUGGUAGUCCUAGCCGUAAACGAUGAGCACUAGUAGUGUCCGUUCGGUCGACGUGCGCAGCUACGACAUAGUAGCUCCACCUCGGUACGUACGUCGUCGAGACGUAAACGUUAAACGUAAGUUAGUACGGCGUGAGACGUGCCGACGACGACGACGAGGGAGGAGG